GCUACGGCCAUACCACCCUGAACGCCGAUCUCGUCUGAUCUCGAAGCUAAGCAGGGUCGGGCCUGGUCAGUACUUGGAUGGAGACCGCCUGGGAAUACCAGGUGCUGUAAGCU
rnacentral:rRNA from 1 species